rnacentral:rRNA from 2 species
GCGUGCCUAAUACAUGCAAGUCGAGCGAACUGAUUAGAAGCUUGCUUCUAUGACGUUAGCGGCGGNNNGGUGAGUAACACGUGGGCAACCUGCCUGUAAGACUGGGAUAACUUCGGGAAACCGAAGCUAAUACCGGAUAGGAUCUUCUCCUUCAUGGGAGAUGAUUGAAAGAUGGUUUCGGCUAUCACUUACAGAUGGGCCCGCGGUGCAUUAGCUAGUUGGUGAGGUAACGGCUCACCAAGGCAACGAUGCAUAGCCGACCUGAGAGGGUGAUCGGCCACACUGGGACUGAGACACGGCCCAGACUCCUACGGGAGGCAGCAGUAGGGAAUCUUCCGCAAUGGACGAAAGUCUGACGGAGCAACGCCGCGUGAGUGAUGAAGGCUUUCGGGUCGUAAAACUCUGUUGUUAGGGAAGAACAAGUACGAGAGUAACUGCUCGUACCUUGACGGUACCUAACCAGAAAGCC